rnacentral:rRNA from 1 species
CCCGGUGGCAAUUGCGGAGGGGCCACACCCGUUCCCAUUCCGAACACGGAAGUUAAGCCCUCCAGCGCCGAUGAUACUUCGGGGGAGACUCCGUGGGAAAGUAGGUCGCCGCCGGGC